UACGGAGGGUGCAAGCGUUAAUCGGAAUUACUGGGCGUAAAGCGUGCGUAGGCGGUUCGUUAAGUCUGUUGUGAAAGCCCCGGGCUCAACCUGGGAAUGGCAAUGGAUACUGGCGAGCUAGAGUGUGUCAGAGGAUGGUGGAAUUCCCGGUGUAGCGGUGAAAUGCGUAGAGAUCGGGAGGAACACCAGUGGCGAAGGCGACUACCUGGCC
rnacentral:rRNA from 1 species